GAUGAACGCUGGCGGCGUGCUUAACACAUGCAAGUCGAACGGAAAGGCCCAAGCUUGCUUGGGUACUCGAGUGGCGAGCGGGUGAGUAACACGUGGGUGAUCUGCCCUGCACUUCGGGAUAAGCCUGGGAAACUGGGUCUAAUACCGGAUAGGACCACUUCUUGGAUGUUGUGGUGGAAAGUUUUUUCGGUGUGGGAUGAGCUCGCGGCCUAUCAGCUUGUUGGUGGGGUAAUGGCCUACCAAGGCGUCGACGGGUAGCCGGCCUGAGAGGGUGUACGGCCACAUUGGGACUGAGAUACGGCCCAGACUCCUACGGGAGGCAGCAGUGGGGAAUAUUGCACAAUGGGCGCAAGCCUGAUGCAGCGACGCCGCGUGGGGGAUGACGGCCUUCGGGUUGUAAACUCCUUUCGCUAGGGACGAAGCGUUUUGUGACGGUACCUGGAGAAGAAGCACCGGCUAACUACGUG
rnacentral:rRNA from 1 species